UACGUAGGGUGCGAGCGUUAAUCGGAAUUACUGGGCGUAAAGCGUGCGCAGGCGGUUCGUUGUGUCGGCGGUGAAAGCCCCGGGCUCAACCUGGGAAUGGCCGUUGAAACUGGCGAACUGGAGUGUGGCAGAGGGGGGUGGAAUUCCGCGUGUAGCAGUGAAAUGCGUAGAGAUGCGGAGGAACACCGGUGGCGAAGGCGGCCUCUGGACAGUGACUGACGCUGAGACGCGAAAGCGUGGGGAGCAAACAGG
rnacentral:rRNA from 1 species